rnacentral:rRNA from 1 species
CUACGGGAUGCACCAGUGAGGAAUAUUGCACAAUGGGGGAACCCUGAUGCAGCAACGCCGCGUGGAGGAUGACGCAUUUCGGUGUGUAAACUCCUUUUAUAUGUCAAGAAAAUGACGGUAGCAUAUGAAUAAGCACCGGCUAACUCCGUGCCAGCAGCCGCGGUAAUACGGAGGGUGCAAGCGUUACUCGGAAUCACUGGGCGUAAAGGACGCGUAGGCGGGUUGGAAAGUCAGGUGUGAAAUCCUACAGCUUAACUGUAGAACUGCACUUGAAACUUCUAAUCUAGAGUAUGGGAGGGGGAGAUGGAAUUAGUGGUGUAGGGGUAAAAUCCGUAGAUAUCACUAGGAAUACCUAAAGCGAAGGCGAUCUGCUGGAACAUAACUGACGCUAAGGCGUGAAAGCGUGGGGAGCAAACAGGAUUAGAUACCCCUGUAGUC